CUUAUCUCUAUCUCUAGUUCAUGUUCGAGUUCGCAGGUCUUUCUUCAUGGUUUGCUAGGUUUUAUCUAGAUCAGAUCGAUCGAUUGAAGAUCUAUUGAUCGAUUGAACGUGAUUUCGAAGUUCAACCUUCUUCAGCUCGGUGAUUCAAUCUCAGAUUCGUUCGGCGAUUUCGAAGUUCUCUCUCGAUUUCAAAGCUCGGUGAUUCAAUCUCAGAUUCAUUCAGCGAGGAAAGUGAGCACCAUCAUCUACCAAGGUGA